AUUGAACGCUGGCGGCAGGCCUAACACAUGCAAGUCGAGCGAGCGGCGGACGGGUGAGUAAUGUCUGGGAAACUGCCUGGUGGAGGGGGAUAACUAAUGGAAACGGUAGCUAAUACCGCAUACCAUCAGAUGGGCCCAGAUGGGAUUAGCUAGUGGGUGGGGUAAAGGCUCACCUAGGCGACGAUCUCUAGCUGGUCUGAGAGGAUGAACAGCCACACUGGAACUGAGACACGGUCCAGACGCCUACGGGAGGCAGCAGUGGGGAAUAUUGCACAAUGGGCGCAAGCCUGAUGCAGCCAUGCCGCGUGUAUGAAGAAGGCCUUCGGGUUGUAAAGUACUUUCAGCGGGGAGGCGUUACCCGCAGAAGAAGCACCGGCUAACUCCGUGCCAGCAGCCGCGGUAAUUC
rnacentral:rRNA from 1 species